GACGAACGCUGGCGGCGUGCUUAACACAUGCAAGUCGAACGGAAAGGCCCUGCUUGCAGGGUACUCGAGUGGCGAACGGGUGAGUAACACGUGGGUGAUCUGCCCUGCACUUCGGGAUAAGCCUGGGCAACUGGGUCUAAUACCGGAUAGGAGCCAUUUUUAGUGUGAUGGUUGGAAAGUUUUUUCGGUGUAGGAUGAGCUCGCGGCCUAUCAGCUUGUUGGCGGGGUAAUGGCCUACCAAGGCGACGACGGGUAGCCGGCCUGAGAGGGUGGACGGCCACAUUGGGACUGAGAUACGGCCCAGACUCCGACGGGAGGCAGCAGUGGGGAAUAUUGCACAAUGGGCGCAAGCCUGAUGCAGCGACGCCGCGGGGGGGAUGACGGCCUUCGGGUUGUAAACUCCUUUCGCGAGGGACGAAGCUUUUUGUGACGGUACCUAGAUAAGAAGCACCGGCUAACUACGUG
rnacentral:rRNA from 1 species